CCUACGGGGGGCAGCAGUCGAGAAUCAUUCACAAUGGGGGAAACCCUGAUGGUGCGACGCCGCGUGGGGGAAUGAAGGUCUUCGGAUUGUAAACCCCUGUCAUGUGGGAGCAAAUUAAAAAGAUAGUACCACAAGAGGAAGAGACGGCUAACUCUGUGCCAGCAGCCGCGGUAAUACAGGGGUCUCAAGCGUUGUUCGGAAUCACUGGGCGUAAGGCGUGCGUAGGCUGUGUCGUAAGUCGUGUGUGAAAGGCGCGGGCUCAACCCGCGGACGGCACAUGAUACUGCGAGACUAGAGUAAUGGAGGGGGAACCGGAAUUCUCGGUGUAGCAGUGAAAUGCGUAGAUAUCGAGAGGAACACUCGUGGCGAAGGCGGGUUCCUGGACAUUAACUGACGCUGAGGCACGAAGGCCAGGGGAGCGAAAGGGAUUAGAUACCCUAGUAGUC
rnacentral:rRNA from 1 species